GGGGGGUAUGUACAGCAGGCAUCAUGUAAGAAAAACUCACACCUCACGACAUAUUUGUUUGAUUUAUUCAGCAGACUUCAGCAAAGGAAAGAUGUGAAAGCAACCCUUGAUUGUUGAUUUUUUGUUCAUUCUGAAAAUCACAUCGCCAGAUCCAACACCUUUUUAUCCCAAUCACCAGUACAAGCCACCCGUAUCAGUGUACACUGUGGCUGACCGAUCCAUAGUGAUGCUUUGAGCUCUGGUAGAUGUGAUUAUGCC
rnacentral:lncRNA from 10 species